rnacentral:rRNA from 1 species
AUUGAACGCUGGCGGCAGGCCUAACACAUGCAAGUCGAGCGGAUGAAGGGAGCUUGCUCCUGGAUUCAGCGGCGGACGGGCGAGUAAUGCCUAGGAAUCUGCCUGGUAGUGGGGGAUAACGUCCGGAAACGGGCGCUAAUGCCGCAUACGUCCUGAGGGAGAAAGUGGGGGAUCUUCGGACCUCACGCUAUCAGAUGAGCCUAGGUCGGAUUAGCUAGUUGGUGGGGUAAAGGCCUACCAAGGCGACGAUCCGUAACUGGUCUGAGAGGAUGAUCAGUCACACUGGAACUGAGACACGGUCCAGACUCCUACGGGAGGCAGCAGUGGGGAAUAUUGGACAAUGGGCGAAAGCCUGAUCCAGCCAUGCCGCGUGUGUGAAGAAGGUCUUCGGAUUGUAAAGCACUUUAAGUUGGGAGGAAGGGCAGUAAGUUAAUACCUUGCUGUUUUGACGUUACCAACAGAAUAAGCACCGGCUAACUUCGUG